rnacentral:rRNA from 1 species
UACGUAGGGUGCAAGCGUUGUCCGGAAUUAUUGGGCGUAAAGAGCUCGUAGGCGGUUUGUCGCGUCUGCUGUGAAAACUCGGGGCUUAACCCCGGGCCGGCAGUGGGUACGGGCAGACUAGAGUGCGGUAGGGGAGACUGGAAUUCCUGGUGUAGCGGUGAAAUGCGCAGAUAUCAGGAGGAACACCGGUGGCGAAGGCGGGUCUCUGGGCCGAUACUGACGCUGAGGAGCGAAAGCGUGGGGAGCGAACAGG